CCUACGGGGGGCUGCAGUGGGGAAUAUUGCACAAUGGGCGGAAGCCUGAUGCAGCAACGCCGCGUGCGGGAUGAAGGCCUUCGGGUUGUAAACCGCUUUCACUGCCGACGAAUGUGACGGUAGGCGGAGAAGAAGCACCGGCUAACUACGUGCCAGCAGCCGCGGUGAUACGUAGGGUGCGAGCGUUGUCCGGAUUUAUUGGGCGUAAAGAGCUCGUAGGCGGUUUGUUGCGUCGGAAGUGAAAACCCACGGCUUAACUGUGGGCUUGCUUUCGAUACGGGCAGACUUGAGGGAUGUAGGGGAGAACGGAAUUCCUGGUGGAGCGGUGGAAUGCGCAGAUAUCAGGAGGAACACCAGUGGCGAAGGCGGUUCUCUGGACAUUUCCUGACGCUGAGGAGCGAAAGCGUGGGGAGCAAACAGGCUUAGAUACCCUGGUAGUC
rnacentral:rRNA from 1 species